CACGUAGGGGGCGAGCGUUGUCCGGAUUUAUUGGGCGUAAAGAGCUCGUAGGCGGCUCAGUAAGUCGGGUGUGAAAACUCCAGGCUCAACCUGGAGACGCCACCUGAUACUGCUGUGGCUAGAGUCCGGUAGGGGAGCAUGGAAUUCCUGGUGUAGCGGUGAAAUGCGCAGAUAUCAGGAGGAAUACCGAUGGCGAAGGCAGGUCUCUGGGCUGACACUGACGCUCAUGCACGAAAGCGUGGGGAGCAAACAGG
rnacentral:rRNA from 1 species